rnacentral:rRNA from 1 species
AUACGUAGGUGGCAAGCGUUGUUCGGAUUUACUGGGUGUAAAGGGGGCGCAGGCGGGAAGCUAAGUUGGAUGUGAAAUACCGGGGCUCAACUCCGGAGCUGCAUCCAAAACUGGUUUUCUUGAGUGGAGUAGAGGCAAGCGGAAUUCCGAGUGUAGCGGUGAAAUGCGUAGAUAUUCGGAGGAACACCAGUGGCGAAGGCGGCUUGCUGGGCUCUAACUGACGCUGAGGCCCGAAAGCGUGGGGAGCAAACAGGAUUAGAUACCCUGGUAGUCCACGCCGUAAACGAUGAUUACUAGGUGUGGGGGGUCUGACCCCUUCCGUGCCGCAGUUAACGCAAUAAGUAAUCCACCUGGGGAGUACGGCCGCAAGGCUGAAACUUAAAGGAAUUGACGGGG